AAAGCAAUUAAUUGCUCUUCUUCCAGAAGCAGCAAGUGGGCACGCACCUCAUCCACUCGGCCCACCUCUGCAGUGCCAGAUCCUGCUACCAGCUGAGGACUAUCUCCAGGAAUUACAUUUGGUUGCAGAAUGAGGUAGUGUAGCAACUCCAGCAAGAAAACAAAGCUGGGCAGGGUAGAGAGAGAACAAGUUGUACAGUUCUCAGAAAAAUACAGGUAAAAUCAAAGCUAAUGGGGAAUUUAAUCUUUAUUAGAGUGUGAAGGUGAACAGCUGUUUAUAAAGACCUGAGCAAAAAAGCAUGAGGAAGCAUUGUCCUCCCUGAAUUGUACUGGCUAUGUGCUAAGGAUGGGGGACAGGGUCAGAAAGCUGUGUUCCUGUCUCUCAUCAGGGAUUUUUUUUCCUCCCCUGCUUCUACAAUUUGAAGAUUGAAUCUGCUUUCAUUGCUGUAGCAGUCACACCUCCUCCAAUGAAACCAGUAUGGUAAGCAUACAUAAGACUCAGACCCUGAAGACCUGCACUAUUCAGUAAAUUUGUUACAUUUCUUUGCCUGCUUACUGCUUAUGUUUGAGCUGGAGACGUGAACUUUACUCUCUGCAUCCUCUGAAAACUAUUUUUGAGUAUGGCCCCUGGAAUCUGAAAGUUGUAUUUAUUCACUGAGUAAUAAUGGUAGUAGUGCCAAUAGCAAUAGGAAGUCCACAGUAAGAGUUCUGAAAUUCUAUAAAAAUAGUUGGGUUGCAGCAAUAAAUAACAGCAUUUGCACUUUAAAAAA